rnacentral:rRNA from 1 species
AGUGAACGCUGGCGGUAGGCCUAACACAUGCAAGUCGAACGGCAGCACAGUAAGAGCUUGCUCUUACGGGUGGCGAGUGGCGGACGGGUGAGGAAUACAUCGGAAUCUACUUUUUCGUGGGGGAUAACGUAGGGAAACUUACGCUAAUACCGCAUACGACCUACGGGUGAAAGCAGGGGAUCUUCGGACCUUGCGCGAUUGAAUGAGCCGAUGUCGGAUUAGCUAGUUGGCGGGGUAAAGGCCCACCAAGGCGACGAUCCGUAGCUGGUCUGAGGGGAUGAUCAGCCACACUGGAACUGAGACACGGUCCAGACGCCUACGGGAGGCAGCAGUGGGGAAUAUUGGACAAUGGGCGCAAGCCUGAUCCAGCCAUACCGCGUGGGUGAAGAAGGCCUUCGGGUUGUAAAGCCCUUUUGUUGGGAAAGAAAAGCAGCAGGUUAAUACCCCGCUGUUCUGACGGUACCCAAAGAAUAAGCACCGGCUAACUUCGUG